rnacentral:rRNA from 1 species
AGAGUUUGAUCAUGGCUCAGAACGAACGCUGGCGGCGUGUUUAAGACAUGCAAGUCGCACGGGAUCACAUGAGUAGCAAUACAAGUGUGGUUUAGUGGCGCACGGGUGAGUAACACGUGAAUUACAUGCCCUUCAGUGGGGAAUAGCCCAGGGAAACUUGGAUUAAUACCCCAUGGUAUCGCAAGAUUAAAGGUGGCCGCAAGGCUGUCGCUGAAGGAUUGGUUCGCACCCUAUCAGCUUGUUGGUGAGGUAACGGCCCACCAAGGCUACGACGGGUACCUGGUCUGAGAGGACGAUCAGGCACACUGGAACUGAGACACGGUCCAGACACCUACGGGUGGCAGCAGUCGAGAAUAAUUCACAAUGGGGGCAACCCUGAUGGUGCGACGCCGCGUGGAGGAUGACGGUCUUCGGAUUGUAAACUCCUGUCAUGGGGGAGUAAGGCUCUUAUGUGAAUAGCAUAACAGAUUGAUAGUAUUCGAAGAGGAAGGGACGGCUAACUUCGUGCCAGCAGCCGCGGUAAUACAGAGGUCUCAAGCGUUGUUCGGAAUUACUGGGCGUAAAGCGUGCGUAGGCGGCGAGGUAAGUCAGAUGUGAAAUCCCGGGGCUCAACCCCGGAACUGCAUCCGAUACUGCCCUGCUAGAGUAAUUGGAGGGGUAACUGGAAUUCUCGGUGUAGCAGUGAAAUGCGUAGAUAUCGAGAGGAACACUCGUGGCGAAGGCGAGCUACUGGACAUUUACUGACGCUGAGGCACGAAGGCCAGGGUAGCGGAAGGGAUUAGAUACCCCUGUAGUCCUGGCAGUAAACGGUGUGCGCUUGGUGUGGGAGGGCUCGACCCCUUCUGUGCCGGAGCUAACGCGUUAAGCGCACCGCCUGGGAAGUACGGCCGCAAGGCUAAAACUCAAAGAAAUUGACGGGGACCCGCACAAGCGGGGGAGUAUGUGGCUUAAUUCGAUGCAACGCGAAGAACCUUACCCAGACCAUGCUCAUCAUACCCUCCCGAAAAGGAGGGGUCGGUUCGGCCGGAUGAUGCACAGGUGCUGCAUGGCUGUCGUCAGCUCGUGUCGUGAGAUGUUUGGUUAAGUCCAGCAACGAGCGCAACCCCUGUGAAUAGUUGCCAGCGCGUAAUGGCGGGGACUCUAUUCAGACUGCCCAGAUCAACUGGGAGGAAGGUGGGGACGACGUCAAGUCAGUAUGGCCCUUACGCCCAGGGCUGCACACGUACUACAAUGCCCAGCACAAUGUGACCCGAGACCGUGAGGUGGAGGAAAUCUGUAAAACUGGGCCCAGUUCGGAUUGGAGGCUGCAACUCGCCUCCAUGAAGUUGGAAUCGCUAGUAAUGCCGUAUCAGCUACGACGGCGUGAAUACGUUCCCGGGUCUUGUACACACCGCCCGUCACAUCAUGGAAGCCGAUCACACCCGAAGUGCGUGAGCUAACUGCAAAGAGGCAGCGCCCUAAGGUGAGGCUGGUAACUGGGAUGAAGUCGUAACAAGGUAACCGUA